rfam:Firmicutes bacterium CAG:212 genomic scaffold, scf227
UAAGUAGGACAGACAAUCGCGGCUGCGGGAAUCGAAAGAUUGCAGACGAGGAAAGUCCGGGCUUCACAGGGCAGGAUGCCGGAUAACGUCCGGUAGAGGUGACUCUAAGGAAAGUGCAACAGAAAUAAACCGCAUAUGUAUUCACAUAUGUAAGGGUGGAAAGGCAGUGUAAGAGACUACCGCCUCGCUGGUAACAGAGAGGGCACAUGUAAACCCCAUCCGAAGCAAGACCGGAUAAAAGCAAUGUGGCUGCCCGUCACGCUUUAGGUAGGUCGCUCGAGCCUGUUGGUGACAACAGGCCUAGAUAGAUGAUUGUUCAACGACAUAACCCGGCUCAUCGUCUUGCUUAACAC